AGCAGCGUGGCUCAGUGGAAAGAGCACGGGCUUGGGAGCCAGAGGUCAUGGGUUCGAAUCUCAGCUCUGCCA
rnacentral:tRNA from 1 species